GAUGAACGCUGGCGGCGUGCCUAAUACAUGCAAGUCGAGCGAACAGACGAGGAGCUUGCUCCUCUGACGUUAGCGGCGGACGGGUGAGUAACACGUGGAUAACCUACCUAUAAGACUGGGAUAACUUCGGGAAACCGGAGCUAAUACCGGAUAAUAUAUUGAACCGCAUGGUUCAAUAGUGAAAGACGGUUUUGCUGUCACUUAUAGAUGGAUCCGCGCCGCAUUAGCUAGUUGGUAAGGUAGCGGCUUACCAAGGCAACGAUGCGUAGCCGACCUGAGAGGGUGAUAGGCCACACUGGAACUGAGACACGGUCAAGACUCCUACGGGAGGCAGCAGUAGGGAAUCGUCCGCAAUGGGCGAAAGCCUGACGGAGCAACGCCGCGUGAGUGAUGAAGGUCUUCGGAUCGUAAAACUCUGUUAUUAGGGAAGAACAAAUGUGUAAGUAACUAUGCACGUCUUGACGGUACCUAAUCAGAAAGCCACGGCUAACUACGUG
rnacentral:rRNA from 1 species